CGGCAUGCCUUACACAUGCAAGUCGAACGGCAGGCACGGGGGCAACCCUGGUGGCGAGUGGCGAACGGGUGAGUAAUGCAUCGGAACGUGCCCAUCGAUGGGGGAUAACUGCGCGAAAGCGUUGCUAAUACCGCAUACGACCUACGGGUGAAAGCAGGGGACCGCAAGGCCUUGCGUCGAUGGAGCGGCCGAUGCCGGAUUAGCUAGUUGGUGAGGUAAAGGCUCACCAAGGCGACGAUCCCGUAGCUGGUCUGAGAGGACGACCAGCCACACUGGGACUGAGACACGGCCCAGACUCCUACGGGAGGCAGCAGGUGGGGAAUCUUGGACAAGUGGGCGAAAGCCUGAUCCAGCAAUGCCGCGUGUGGAAGAAGCCUCGGUUGUAAACCACUUUUGGCGGGAAAGAAAUGGUCUGUGCUAAUACCACGGAUUGAUGACGGUACCCGCAGAAUAAGCACCGGCUAACUACGUG
rnacentral:rRNA from 1 species